UGGGGAAUAUUGGACAAUGGGCGAAAGCCUGAUCCAGCCAUGCCGCGUGAGUGACGAAGGCCUUAGGGUUGUAAAACUCUUUCGUCGGGGACGAUAAUGACGGUACCCGAAGAAGAAGCUCCGGCUAACUUCGUGCCAGCAGCCGCGGUAAUACGAAGGGAGCUAGCGUUGUUCGGAAUCACUGGGCGUAAAGCGCACGUAGGCGGAUAGUUAAGUCAGGGGUGAAAUCCUGGGGCUCAACCCCAGAACUGCCUUUGAUACUGGCUGUCUCGAGGUCGAGAGAGGUUGGUGGAAUUCCUAGUGUAGAGGUGAAAUUCGUAGAUAUUAGGAAGAACACCAGUGGCGAAAGCAGGUUACUGGCCCAAUACUGACACUGAGCUGCGAAAGCUAGGGGAGCAAACAGGAUUAGAUACCCCCGUAGUCCCUGAGCGGGCUGGCAAGGCGCAU
rnacentral:rRNA from 1 species